AUUCUGCUUUGUCCUCAAAAAUGAAUGGAGACGUUUCUCACAAUUUAAUUUGCAUUUGGGAUAACAUCCAAUGCUUUUGUGAAAAAAGUGGCCUGAUGACAAUUUUACUGGUUUGGUUUUACUUUUGAAAGAGAAAAAUAGCAAGUUUCCAUCUCUCUUUAAUUUUUCUUUUUACGGGUGAGAAUGCUAAAUGACAGCACUGUGGACCAAGUUCAGCUUUUCACAUUGAGAAAACUGACUAAUGGACCAUCUGAUAAAAGUACUGCUACCAUUUGAGCAUUGCAAUACCUUCUGUCUUCCAAAAGACAUCGAAACGACUAUGAAACUUGGAAACCGGGAACUAAAGGAACAUUUGUCAUUUUGUUCAACAGACAAGAAAAGCAACUCCGUGCAUUUCUUCAUCUGUAAGUUUGCUCGCCAUGCAUGCGAACAAUCGCCAAGUGAAGAUCGUUCUGAAGCCAGAGAAUGGUAUUGCAAGGUCGCGCUGAAUCUGGUCCACCCACUGGCAAGGACUGGUCCAAUGAGGACCUGGUCAUGGCAAGAUGAACACUAUGCAGGGACAUUGCUGGCACAGUUCAGACCUGUGACAUGAAUAUGGGCAAACAUCGGCACGUUCACAGCUGCAGGUGCAGACUGCUGAGCUGUAGAAGCUGACCGAAGAAUAAGCAUUGUUCACUCUGACCAGAGAGCCCAAUAGUCACCAAGCACAGUGACCCAAGCUUUCUAGAACUCCUUGCAGUCUGACUGGAGGGCCGGGGUCAUCUUUGCUACACUGUAAAGCACCUACAUGUGCAUUUCCUCAGAUGAAUCCCUCCCUGCAGAGAAUGUGCUCCAGAAUUAACCUGCUUCUUCACCUAGACAGUGACCCAGAGGAGGAGAACUGCCCUUUCAUUGUCACAGGGUGGAAUGUGCACAAGAUAGUCUACCAUUCACAUGGGCUUCUGAGUCCGAAUGUCUUCAGGAAAAGUGGUCCCUGGAUUGGAGUCACAGUUAAAUCUGGGAACUGUCUUAGUGGUCAAUAGAAUACCGGGAUCUAUGCCAAUGUGAUGACCUUUCUUUAUUAUGACCCAAUUUAUCUUUCCAAUUUUAUUUCCUUCUCUUCUCUUUGUGCUCUUGUCUCAGAACUUUUGCACUUGCUGUUCCCUCUACUGGAAUGCUUGUCUUUGUCCUUCUCCUCUGCAAGGUCACUGGUCUCUUCCAGCACAUCUCCUUCUCUGGUUUGACUUUCUUUACUCAUUUACCAUCCUUCGACAUAGUGUGUAUUGUAUUCACUUAUUUAUAAUAUGCUACAGAAACAGGGAUUUUUAAAAAGCUCUUUUGUUCACUGCUAAAUUCCUAGAGUCUGGAAGAGUAUGGGGAACAUAGGAGAUGCUCCCUGACUGUUUCUCUUAAACCACUAAGUAAACAUUCAGACUAAUCACUCAGAACUAUCCACUGCUCCCUCUGCCUAAUCCAUGAUUUCUGGGCAGUUGCUUGAGCCCAUUACCCCAAGUCCAAGCCUGUCCACCCUUCAAGGUCUGCUCAGUGUCAGCUCAUACGUAGACUCUGUUGAUUCUUCCCGUUAUACAUAACGCCGUCUCUCACGCUUCCCUAGACUUUUACAAAUAGCGCUUUCUAGAUGGCAUCUAUGCUUAUUUAUAUAUGCCUUAUCGGUAUUAUUAGAUUGUAAGUGGUUUGAAGGAAGGACAUAUUUCUUAGUAGAAGGUGUGAUCCUAGAAGCUUCACAUACUGUUAGCAUACUGCUUUUUACAGGGUAUGUGUAAAAUACUUAUAUGCUAUAAUCCCAGAGCUUAAAGACGCGGACUCUGCAGUCGGAUAAACCUGGAUCCGCGGAUUGACUGCUCCCCUUCACCUGUGACCGAAGCUUUGCGGUCCCGCACCCGCCGCUCUGUUCUGGGUCCUGCACUCUGAUUUCGAGGUCGCGCUACUUGGUGCCACAGCCUCCUGGCGCUGCACCCGCCGUCUUCUCGCUCUCCCACCACGUCUCUCCUUUUUCUAGGUUGUCGCUCUGGAGGGCAGUCACCGUAACUUUUUCAUCUUAAACCAAGUGAGCGCCUAGGAGGUAGUAGAAAUUCAAGAAAUAUUUGUAAAAGGAAUGAAAUAGUAGUUGUGCAAACUGAACUUUUAACAAACGAGUGUGUUCCUUCUCCAGAUGGUUGCUCGGCGAGCUAAGGUAUAAGGAUGGCGGGAAUUUGAAAAUGGCCUGGGAGCAGCACGUUCUCUGCCCCACCUGCCAGGGGAGAGUGCGGCCGAGUGAUGCUGAGAGAUGCAUCACAAGGAGCUUAGGAAUGGAGUUGUCACUCAGUUACUCACUCAUUAAGUGGCUUAAUAAGUCAUGACAUCUUUCGGGAGAGAGGGGACUCAAUUAAUCAUUGGAACGCACAAGUUUUAGUGUUACUUAAAAUCUGAUCACACAGAGACAGCCACCAUAUUGUCUGAAUGAAAGAAAAGUGAAUAAAUCAUGAUUAGUAGGAACAAGGAUAAUGUUAUUAAUAUAACCACUGAUAUCAAAGAACUAUUUAUUUUCAAUGGACAUGUCUGAGAUUCAGACUCUAGGAAAUUUCAACGGUAUUUUUCAAGGUUGGUUAGUUACCUCUCUUUCUUUGGGGAAUAUAUAUUUUUUACAUCUCUUAAUCAAAGAAAGCUAAGAAUGAAAGGGAGUGAGCUGUACACCGAAAUUGCACAUUUAAAGAUGGGAGAGAUCGAUCCUUUAUUUCCCAUUAUCAGUCUCAGCUGUGAUUAUUAAAUAUUUUCUCUUUGCUUGUUUAUAUUCCCUCAUUUUAUCAUUUUCAAUCUCAUUUUACCUUUUUAUGGUCUUGUUUUUUCUUAGUCUUUUGCUUAUUGUUCAGAAGUUAGUUACAUGUAGCAUCCCAAGUCUGCCAUCUAGUGGAAUAAAGUGGUCAAGACAGCUGUGGAUGGUGAUGGCGAAAGUCUAAAUCAGACACAGCCUUCCUUGGAAUAGAAAUUACUCCUUUCAUCAGAGUUCAAAGCAAUGCCUGGACUCCAAUUUACCAAAUUUGUGUAGUGAAACUGAAAAUUGCAUUUAAUUGUCUAAAAUGGCUGCUGGAUAUAUAACUAUGUUUGCUGUUUUAUUAAAUUUUGCAGAGCUUCUGAAGACUUGAGUAACCAGAGGCAGCUCUGUUAUAUUUGCUGUGAAAAGAGUGAGGGCGAAACUACUGACAGAAGUGAUUUUAGAAGAAAGGCUGAAAUUAAGAGCAGGUGUCUUUCCUGGGGGCCAUCAAAGAUCAUAGCCAUUUUGUCCUAGAAAAAGAAAAUUACAAAACAUGUCAUUAACCUCCUUAUGAACGGUAUGCCAUGGAGUAUGUACAGAUGCUCUUUGAAAGACAAAGCAAACAUGUAGCUGUUCCUAUUGAAUGGUUUUACUUUAUCAUUUACUCAUAUUUUUCUGCAUAGAUGAGUGAAAAAUAUUUAUCGUCAAUCUGUGAUUUUUGAAACAUAUUCUCUGAUUAUAAAAGUAGCACAGUUUCAUUAUAGAAAAUUUGGAAAAUUCACAAAUAUAUAAAGAACAAAAAAGACACCUGUAAUUUUGCUCUCCAAACAUAACCACUUUUUAUUAUUUUGAUAUAUUUCCUUUCAGCCUUAAUCUCUUCACAGAUGUAAUAUAUUUAUAAUUUUUCUUUGACAAAAUUUUAAUCAGUUUGGUUCCACUUUUCUUAAUUAACAAGACAAGAUGACCUUUUCACCCAGGUGAUUUAAGAACACAAUUUUUAAUGACUGUAAAAUAUCUUUUAUAAUUAUGUACAAAAGUUAUUUAAACCAAUCCUAAUUAUUAAAAGUAUUUUAACACUUUCCAGAUGUUUUGCUCUUAGAAACACUGCCACCUUUAACUCCUGACAUUUACAUAUUGGUGAGAAUUUGAUUAUUUCCUAAGUACAAACUCCCUUGAAGUUUAAGGGUUCAAUAAAACAUUUGUAGCCUUUUGAUUUAAAUAGCAAAGUUCCCUUUCAUAAAGUUGUAAUAAUUUUUCUCAGGCUAGCAUUGUAUGAAAGGAUCCCUUUCAUCUUACCCAUGGCAACAUUAUUUUCAUUUGAUUAAAUAAAGGUAAAAAGAAUAUCUCAUUGAAUAAUAAUUUGCAUUUCUUUGAUUAUUAAACAGACUGAAUUCUUUUGAUUGCCGGAAAUUGCAUUUCUUACCUAAUUAUUUGUACUUUUUUUCUCUCAUGGUAUUUUUCUUGUUGAUUUGUUAAAACUAUUUAUAAAGUUAGGCUAUUAAUCAUUUUUCAUCGUAUGUACCGCCAAUCAUUUCCUCAGCUUGUGGUAUGUUUUAUUUGGUGUGUGAAGUUUUAACUCUUUUGUAUGUGGUAAAAUUCACCAAUCUUUUCCUUUACGCUCCAUUUUCAGCUUUUAUGUUCAGAAAUGUCCCUUUCAUUUUCCACCUUCAUCUCUGUCUUUUGCGUCUGCGUUUUCAUUUCCAUUUCACAGAGACCAUACCUUUUUGUGCCUUUUUGAAGAUAUCCUUUAGAAAUGAAAAUCAUUUUCCUUUGGUUCUUUUAUUAAAGCCAUUUCCCAUGUAAUUUUUUUCCUUAGUCUUUGGGAGAAAUGAAGCAGCAUCUUCCAUAGGUCACAAUUAGUGAAAAUGUCUCUCCAAUUGUAGAAAAGUUUUUAUUAUUAGAGUUAAUUUUCAGUACUGUUAUGAAGCUUUUCCUUUUUUAAAAAAUUAGAAUUUUAAUGGGACACUGGGAGACACUGGGGCAUGAAUUUCUUGCCAUCCUAAACCGUGUAUCUAUUUUAUGUCUUUUAUUCAGUAUGGAUCAGGAGAAAGGGAGAAAUAAGUGAAGGCUGAGAGUUGUAGAGAUUAAAUAAUCCUGAAUGAUACUAAUUCAUGUCUGAUACUGACAACACGGAUAUGCUUGCCUCCUUGCUGGGACUGUCGGUCACGUUAAUUCCUGUAAUAACUUAAAUAUGGACUUCUGAGGAAAUUUAGGCAGUCAGAAAGGCUGGUUUUUUGAUCCUUUAAACAUUUCUCCCACCUACACCCUGCUCAGCAAUUCCUGAAACUGUGGCAUCUCAUUUUCCUCCAACCUCUACACAUUAAAGUGACAGGUAAAUGAAAUCAAGCAGUAUGACAUUUCAAGCUACAGCGUGCCCUUUCCCUGCCGUCCAUCCAAUAGCCUGAACUCCUUGCUCUUUUGCUGUAGGAAGUCACCUUGAACGACAUCGCAGUACCACACACUCAUUUGUGGUUUUACAUCCUAAUCCAAAAUGAAGGCCAACGAAGGUAGCGUCCAUCAGUUAUAAGAACAUCACAACCUAAAGUUUCAAAGCAUAUGCAGUGAAACGAUAGCUUAUAGCCUCUCCACACAAUAGUAAAGUGGCUAAGAGCCGGGCCCUGGGCAGACCGCCUUGUUUGGGUGCCUGAUAAACCAUUACUGCCCACGUGGAGGCCCCGUUGUCGACAAUCCCAGAUGAGCCUGACUCUCAGCUAUCCCAGGUCAGACAUCAGACGUGUGAGUGAUGAAGCCGUCUUGAGAGGCAUCCUCUCAGUCCCAGCUGUCCCAACACUGCCAUCCAAGUCGCCCCCAGCUAGUUGAGUCAUUCCAGCUGAGGUCCCACAUAUGGAGCAGAGAAGAGUUGUCCUUUUUGUGCCUUUCUGAAUUCUCGAUCCUGAGAGUCUAUAAGCAUAAUGAAAUGGUUUUUAUUCUACUUUUGCGGUUAUGAUUGAAGCUACUUCAUUGAACGCUUGUGAGGAUUAACUGAGAUUAUCCAUCUAGCGUGUUUAGAAGAGGGCCUGACACAUAGGGAGUGCUCUAGAAGAUAACUGGCUGUGUUACAGAUUUGAUUUCCUUUAAACAAAAUACUCAACGUGCCCAAGCGGAGCUUCAUGACAUCAAGGAUAAUCUAAGAGAUGGUAAUUUUACACUCUUCCACUAGGGGUCUCUAUAACUGUAUUCAAAUGUUAAUUUUCAGAGAGCAGAAAUUCAAGCGUUAGAAAUUACAGAUAAUUUGAGAUCAGAGAUGUAUACAUCUUCUUCUUAAUAAUAAGGCAAGUCUAGGAAUUUGGGGAUUGCAAUUGCAGCAACGUCUUUGAACUAGCAUAAUUAAGAAUUGGGGCAGGGUUAGGAGAGCUGCGGUUGAACUUAGAGAGCCAGAACCUUAUUCACCCUCAGGACUUUCUUCUCGCUUAUCUCUGGCUUUACUCUUCCCUCUCAGUGUCGACUGGCUUCCUCUGAUUCCCAGGCCACAGGGUCAAAAAUAUUGCUCCCAACAAUUCCAAGCUUAUAUAUUAAUGUUCCAGCCACCCCAGCAACAGAAUGAGUCAACGCUGCAUUCCAAUUCCAACUCCACCAGUCCCCCAGAUCAGUAGACAAGGGUCCCAUUUUGGUGAGUACGCUUCCCAUUCCUGGUCCCAUCAACUGCGACUCCUUAGUGAACGUGCCCACUGGGGAUGCUGUACACAACAUGUGCAUAGAGAGAACGGGAAGGACCCAGAAAGGAGGAGUAAGCCCAGAGGUGUCCAUAAAAGUUGAUUUAUAAAUCCCCGUUGGGGCAGAGAAACUAGAAGUGCUAGAAACUAUAGAUAAUGACGGUUCAGAGGAAAUCAUGAGGACUCUGAAAUAACCGUAUUACAAAAGUUUUAUUUAUUUAUAACUUAUGAAUUUAUACCUUACUUCUAUGCAAAAAAAGUUUUGAUGAGAAUAGAAAAAUGAUGGAUUUACAUAAUUUUAUUUUGCCAAAUUUAGAGGGGGACACAUCUAUUAAUAAAACAAAAUCAUAUAGCUGUGGUUUAUGUCAAACCGCUAUCUGCAUUUGACUAUUCUUAAAAUCAUUACUUAUUUGAGGAGAACUAUUAAUAUAGCAUUUAGAACGGAAUUCUUUGAAGAGACUGUACUUCUCCCUGUAGCUGAUAUUCAGCAAAUGGUAUUCUUAUAGAUUUAGUUUAUCCAGCAACUACUGACUGCAAGAUUUAGAAAACCCUAAAUAAGAUGUGUUGACCACAGUUAGAGAUUAAUGUCUCUUCUCAUCAUGCAAGAUCUAAAACUGAACAUCAAGUUCCCAGUCCCUUGUAAACAGAUCAAAUAGCCAAGUGUAUGUUUUUUCUGAAGCUCCUCGUCCCAUUCUCUGCUUCAACCUCCACCAACCUUCAGGCGCCUACUGUUCUCUUGUAUCUCCCUGAGGCUGUCAGGAGAUCCUAGAAAACUAGUUUUCAGAAUCAUUGUUGAAAAUACAGUUUCUUUCAUUUCCAAAGGUUAUGUAUUAUCUCAGAUUGCAGGAAAAUAGAGAUUAGUAAAUGGCCACUUAAGUAUUUGCCACUUAGAUUUAACAAAUAUUAACAUUUUACCAUUUUGCCUGUGACUUUUCUAAACUGAAACAAAAUGUACAUACAGAGUAAUGCACACAUUUUAAGAAUAAAGUUAAAUCAGGUUUGGCAAAUAAAUAUUCCACGUAACCCACACUGCAAUCAAGAUAUAGUGCUUUGCCAUUACUCUAGAAAGUUCCCGUAAGCCCCUUCCCAAUUAAUCGCUGUCCCAAGCCCCCGGAGGCAAUUCUGAUUUUCAUCAGAAUUAUUAGUUGUUCUAGAAUUUUAUAUAAGUGGAAUCAUCCUGUACUUAUUCUUUGGCUUGGAAUAAUGUUUUGCAAUUCAUUCAUGUUGGGGCAAGCAUUCAUAGAUCAUUCCUUUUUAAAAAUUUCUUAGUAUUCCAUUGUACAAAUAUACCAG
rnacentral:lncRNA from 1 species